CUCCGGUGCCUACUGAGCUGAUAUCAGUUCUGAUUUUACAUACUGGCUCAGUUCAGCACGCAC
rnacentral:pre_miRNA from 14 species